rnacentral:rRNA from 1 species
UACGUAGGCAGCGAGCGUUGUUCGGAGUUACUGGGCGUAAAGCGUGCGUAGGCGGUGGUCCAAGUCUGGUGUGAAAUCUCCCGGCUUAACCGGGAGGGUGCGCUAGAAACUGGGCUGCUGGAGUGCGGGAGAGGCAAGCGGAAUUCCUGGUGUAGCGGUGAAAUGCGUAGAUAUCAGGAGGAACACCGGUGGUGUAGACGGCUUUCUGGACCGUAACUGACGCUGAGACACGAAAGCGUGGGUAGCAAACAGG